rnacentral:rRNA from 1 species
GACGAACGCUGGCGGCGUGCUUAACACAUGCAAGUCGAACGGAAAGGCCCUGCUUUUGUGGGGUGCUCGAGUGGCGAACGGGUGAGUAACACGUGAGUAACCUGCCCUUGACUUUGGGAUAACUUCAGGAAACUGGGGCUAAUACCGGAUAGGAGCUCCUGCUGCAUGGUGGGGGUUGGAAAGUUUCGGCGGUUGGGGAUGGACUCGCGGCUUAUCAGCUUGUUGGUGGGGUAGUGGCUUACCAAGGCUUUGACGGGUAGCCGGCCUGGGAGGGUGACCGGCCACAUUGGGACUGAGAUACGGCCCAGACGCCAACGGGGGGCAGCAGUGGGGAAUAUUGCACAAUGGGCGGAAGCCUGAUGCAGCAACGCCGCGUGCGGGAUGACGGCCUUCGGGUUGUAAACCGCUUUCGCCUGUGACGAAGCGUGAGUGACGGUAAUGGGUAAAGAAGCACCGGCUAACUACGUG